rnacentral:rRNA from 1 species
AAACUCACCAGGUCAGGACACGGUAAGGAUUGACGGACUGAAGGCUCUUUCUCGAUUCCGUGGAAAGUGGUGCAUGGCCGUUUUUGGUUGGUGGAUCGAUCCGUCUGGUUAAUUCCGUUAACGAACGAGACCUCGGCACUCCGAAUAGCGCGGCGGACGUCGCGGCCUCCGGGCCGUCUUCCGCACGAGCUUCUUAGAGGGGACCGUCCCCCCGCCGGGGAAGGAGGUGCGAGGCAACGACAGGUCUGUGAUGCCCUUAGAUGUUCUGGGCCGCACGCGCAUUACACUGACGCGUCCAACGGGUGACUCCCGACCCGAAGGGGCCGGGGAAUCCGCAAGGCGCGUCGUGAUGGGGAUUGAACGUUGCAAUUGUUGUUCACGAACGAGGAAUUCCUAGUAGGCGCGGGGUCAUCAACCCGCGCCGAUUACGUCCCUGCCCUUUGUACACACCGCC